rnacentral:rRNA from 1 species
UUAAGCGACUAAGCGUACACGGUGGAUGCCCUGGCAGUCAGAGGCGAUGAAGGACGUGCUAAUCUGCGAUAAGCGUCGGUAAGGUGAUAUGAACCGUUAUAACCGGCGAUUUCCGAAUGGGGAAACCCAGUGUGUUUCGACACACUAUCAUUAACUGAAUCCAUAGGUUAAUGAGGCGAACCGGGGGAACUGAAACAUCUAAGUACCCCGAGGAAAAGAAAUCAACCGAGAUUCCCCCAGUAGCGGCGAGCGAACGGGGAGCAGCCCAGAGCCUGAAUCAGUGUGUGUGUUAGUGGAAGCGUCUGGAAAGGCGCGCGAUACAGGGUGACAGCCCCGUACACAAAAAUGCACAUGCUGUGAGCUCGAUGAGUAGGGCGGGACACGUGGUAUCCUGUCUGAAUAUGGGGGGACCAUCCUCCAAGGCUAAAUACUCCUGACUGACCGAUAGUGAACCAGUACCGUGAGGGAAAGGCGAAAAGAACCCCGGCGAGGGGAGUGAAAAAGAACCUGAAACCGUGUACGUACAAGCAGUGGGAGCACGCUUAGGCGUGUGACUGCGUACCUUUUGUAUAAUGGGUCAGCGACUUAUAUUCUGUAGCAAGGUUAACCGAAUAGGGGAGCCGAAGGGAAACCGAGUCUUAACUGGGCGUUAAGUUGCAGGGUAUAGACCCGAAACCCGGUGAUCUAGCCAUGGGCAGGUUGAAGGUUGGGUAACACUAACUGGAGGACCGAACCGACUAAUGUUGAAAAAUUAGCGGAUGACUUGUGGCUGGGGGUGAAAGGCCAAUCAAACCGGGAGAUAGCUGGUUCUCCCCGAAAGCUAUUUAGGUAGCGCCUCGUGAAUUCAUCUCCGGGGGUAGAGCACUGUUUCGGCAAGGGGGUCAUCCCGACUUACCAACCCGAUGCAAACUGCGAAUACCGGAGAAUGUUAUCACGGGAGACACACGGCGGGUGCUAACGUCCGUCGUGAAGAGGGAAACAACCCAGACCGCCAGCUAAGGUCCCAAAGUCAUGGUUAAGUGGGAAACGAUGUGGGAAGGCCCAGACAGCCAGGAUGUUGGCUUAGAAGCAGCCAUCAUUUAAAGAAAGCGUAAUAGCUCACUGGUCGAGUCGGCCUGCGCGGAAGAUGUAACGGGGCUAAACCAUGCACCGAAGCUGCGGCAGCGACGCUGAUGCGUUGUUGGGUAGGGGAGCGUUCUGUAAGCCUGUGAAGGUGUACUGUGAGGUAUGCUGGAGGUAUCAGAAGUGCGAAUGCUGACAUAAGUAACGAUAAAGCGGGUGAAAAGCCCGCUCGCCGGAAGACCAAGGGUUCCUGUCCAACGUUAAUCGGGGCAGGGUGAGUCGACCCCUAAGGCGAGGCCGAAAGGCGUAGUCGAUGGGAAACAGGUUAAUAUUCCUGUACUUGGUGUUACUGCGAAGGGGGACGGAGAAGGCUAUGUUGGCCGGGCGACGGUUGUCCCGGUUUAAGCGUGUAGGCUGGUUUUCCAGGCAAAUCCGGAAAAUCAAGGCUGAGGCGUGAUGACGAGGCACUACGGUGCUGAAGCAACAAAUGCCCUGCUUCCAGGAAAAGCCUCUAAGCAUCAGGUAACAUCAAAUCGUACCCCAAACCGACACAGGUGGUCAGGUAGAGAAUACCAAGGCGCUUGAGAGAACUCGGGUGAAGGAACUAGGCAAAAUGGUGCCGUAACUUCGGGAGAAGGCACGCUGAUAUGUAGGUGAAGUCCCUCGCGGAUGGAGCUGAAAUCAGUCGAAGAUACCAGCUGGCUGCAACUGUUUAUUAAAAACACAGCACUGUGCAAACACGAAAGUGGACGUAUACGGUGUGACGCCUGCCCGGUGCCGGAAGGUUAAUUGAUGGGGUCAGCGCAAGCGAAGCUCUUGAUCGAAGCCCCGGUAAACGGCGGCCGUAACUAUAACGGUCCUAAGGUAGCGAAAUUCCUUGUCGGGUAAGUUCCGACCUGCACGAAUGGCGUAAUGAUGGCCAGGCUGUCUCCACCCGAGACUCAGUGAAAUUGAACUCGCUGUGAAGAUGCAGUGUACCCGCGGCAAGACGGAAAGACCCCGUGAACCUUUACUAUAGCUUGACACUGAACAUUGAGCCUUGAUGUGUAGGAUAGGUGGGAGGCUUGGAAGUGUGGACGCCAGUCUGCAUGGAGCCGACCUUGAAAUACCACCCUUUAAUGUUUGAUGUUCUAACGUUGACCCGUAAUCCGGGUUGCGGACAGUGUCUGGUGGGUAGUUUGACUGGGGCGGUCUCCUCCUAAAGAGUAACGGAGGAGCACGAAGGUUGGCUAAUCCUGGUCGGACAUCAGGAGGUUAGUGCAAUGGCAUAAGCCAGCUUGACUGCGAGCGUGACGGCGCGAGCAGGUGCGAAAGCAGGUCAUAGUGAUCCGGUGGUUCUGAAUGGAAGGGCCAUCGCUCAACGGAUAAAAGGUACUCCGGGGAUAACAGGCUGAUACCGCCCAAGAGUUCAUAUCGACGGCGGUGUUUGGCACCUCGAUGUCGGCUCAUCACAUCCUGGGGCUGAAGUAGGUCCCAAGGGUAUGGCUGUUCGCCAUUUAAAGUGGUACGCGAGCUGGGUUUAGAACGUCGUGAGACAGUUCGGUCCCUAUCUGCCGUGGGCGCUGGAGAACUGAGGGGGGCUGCUCCUAGUACGAGAGGACCGGAGUGGACGCAUCACUGGUGUUCGGGUUGUCAUGCCAAUGGCACUGCCCGGUAGCUAAAUGCGGAAGAGAUAAGUGCUGAAAGCAUCUAAGCACGAAACUUGCCCCGAGAUGAGUUUUCCCUGACCCUUUAAGGGUCCUGAAGGAACGUUGAAGACGACGACGUUGAUAGGCCGGGUGUGUAAGCGCAGCGAUGCGUUGAGCUAACCGGUACUAAUGAACCGUGAGGCUUAACCUU